AUUGAACGCUGGCGGCAGGCCUAACACAUGCAAGUCGAGCGGAUGAAGGGAGCUUGCGCCUGGAUUCAGCGGCGGACGGGUGAGUAAUGCCUAGGAAUCUGCCUGGUAGUGGGGGAUAACGUCCGGAAACGGGCGCUAAUACCGCAUACGACCUGAGGGAGAAAGUGGGGGAUCUUCGGACCUCACGCUAUCAGAUGAGCCUAGGUCGGAUUAGCUAGUUGGUGGGGUAAAGGCCUACCAAGGCGACGAUCCGUAACUGGUCUGAGAGGAUGAUCAGACACACUGGAACUGGGACACUGUCCAGACUCCUACGGGAGGCAGCAGUGGGGAAUAUUGGACAAUGGGCGAAAGCCUGAUCCAGCCAUGCCGCGUGUGUGAAGAAGGUCUUCGGAUUGUAAAGCACUUUAAGUUGGGAGGAAGGGCAGUAAGUUAAUACCUUGCUGUUUUGACGUUACCAACAGAAUAAGCACCGGCUAACUUCGUG
rnacentral:rRNA from 1 species